rnacentral:rRNA from 1 species
AACGUAGGAGACAAACGUUAUCCGGAGUUACUGGGCGUAAAGGGCGUGUAGGUGGUUAUGUAAGUCUGGCGUGAAAUUUUUCGGCUUAACCGGGAAAGGUCGUCGGAUACUGCACAACUAGAGGACGGUAGAGGCGUGUGGAAUUCCGGGUGUAGUGGUGAAAUGCGUAGAGAUCCGGAGGAACUCCAGUGGCGAAGGCGACACGCUGGGCCGUACCUGACACUGAUGCGCGACAGCAUGGGGAGCAAACAGG